CAGCCGCCACGGGAAUACGUAGGGUGCGAGCGUUAAUCGGAAUUACUGGGCGUAAAGCGUGCGCAGGCGGUUCGUUAAGACAGAUGUGAAAUCUCCGGGCUUAACCUGGGAACUGCAUUUGUGACUGGCGAGCUAGAGUAUGGCAGAGGGGGGUAGAAUUCCACGUGUAGCAGUGAAAUGCGUAGAGAUCUGGAGGAAUACCGGUGGCGAAGGCGGCCCCCUGGACAAAGACUGACGCUCAGGUGCGAAAGCGUGGGGAGCAAACAGGAUUAGAUACCCGCGUAGUCCCUGUCUCUUAUAC
rnacentral:rRNA from 1 species